GAAAAAGGAAAAAAAAAAACAAUCUUAUUCACUGAGGAAAUUUACAAUUAUGCUUUAGUUAAAUUAGCAGUUUUAUUGGUCUCUCCUUUUACGGUUUAAGUCAGAAAUUUUUAGGUUAAGCUUUAGCUAUAAAUAACAGAUUCUUCUAGUUCAAUAACAAUUAUUGUUCAAGCAAAAC
rnacentral:sRNA from 1 species